GAUGAUUGUUUGAUCGUAACCCCGUUGAAGCUGUGAUUCUACAGCAGGGAAGGGCGAGGACUAGGUGCACAUAGGUUGGAGGCUCUCAGCGGGGAAAGUUUUAUUAUAUGGAUCUAUAGUUUGAUAUUAUAUAAUCUGUGAAUUUAUUUAUAUGAUCUGUGAAUUUAUUUAUAUGAUUUAUGAAUUAGACAAUUAGUUGAUCUGUUAUUUCUCUAUUGGCCUAUGAUUUAUGAUCUAUUCUUUAGUUCUUAUGAUAUGUGAUUUAUUUAUAUGAUCUGUUCUUAUGAUCUAUUAUUAGUGAAUGAUUAUAGUGCUUAUUUUUUUCGUAGAUGCCAGAACCAGUGGAUAAUAUUGAGUUAUUGUCCAUUGGCACUCAAUUUGACAUUCAGGAGACUCAGGCAAUGGUGCUAGUAGAUCCUCAGGUGUAAGGCAUUAAAAAAGUGGUCAUUGAUGUGGAAGAUACAGAGAAGGAGAAAGUAGAGAGGAAGGAGAUGGCUUCAAGGUCUG
rnacentral:lncRNA from 1 species